rnacentral:misc_RNA from 1 species
GGUAGUUGGAGAGCGAGAUGGGUCGGUGGAGGAAUCCACCGUGACGGAGCAGAGCGUUGGCAGAGGUGGUGGGAAUGUGAGGAAGAGGAAGGAUUUGAGCUCAGAAGACGAGUCAUUUAAGAUGGUUUCUACUUCCAGCAGUGGCAACGAAUUGAAUGAUUCAAAUGGUAAGCGGAUGAAAAUAUCAGGAUCCCGGAAUGAGAGCAGCAAUUCAAAAGCUGGAGCAGAACCAAAUUCUGUUGCCAAUAAGAAGCCAUCUGAGCAAAACAGUAACCUAUCCGAGCCACCUAAGCAAGACUAUAUUCAUGUGAGAGCAAGAAGGGGUCAAGCAACUGAUAGUCACAGUCUAGCAGAAAGAGCUAGGAGAGAAAAGAUAAGUGAGAGGAUGAAGAUACUCCAAGAUUUGGUUCCUGGAUGUAAUAAGGUUAUUGGUAAAGCACUUGUUCUUGAUGAGAUAAUNUAACUACAUCCAAUCACUACAGUGUCAAGUUGAGCUGGAAGCAGUUAAUUCAAGAAUGAAC